UCCGGAGGUGGCAAUCGUUGUCCGGAUUUACUGGGUGUAAAGGGCGUGUAGGCGGGGAAGCAAGUCAGAUGUGAAAUCCCAGGGCUUAACUCUGGAGCUGCAUCUGAAACUGUUUUUCUUGAGUGCUGGAGAGGAAAGUGGAAUUCCCAGUGUAGCGGUGAAAUGCGUAGAGAUUGGGAGGAACACCAGUGGCGAAGGCGGCUUUCUGGACAGUAACUGACGCUGAGGCGCGAAAGCGUGGGGAGCAAACAGG
rnacentral:rRNA from 1 species